UAUGGAUUUCAUUUUUCCUAAAAUAGUUAAUAUUUACAGGGAGUGCUGCCCUUCAAUCUUUUCAGAAACAGAGUUGCUGAUAAGCAAAUUCAGAAAUAUAGCAUGGCAUAAUGCUUUGCAAUCAUCUUAUUCCAGGAGCGGAUCACUUAAAUUGGACUGGACUGGUAGAGCUCAUAAAGGCCUUCAAGCCAAAUAAGCAAAGGAAGAAAAAAAAGCUGCCAGGGAAGCUACUGGUAUUUGCUAAAUGAUUUUCACUUACUAGUCUACUUAUAAAAUUGACUCCCUCACUCAGUCUACUCUCCUACUGCUGUGCUCAUCUAGGGGAAGGGUUGGGAAGAAACUUGGAAGAUCUGUUGACCUUCCAUUCCUAUUGGAUAAAUGGCUCCUUCUUUCUCCAAAGUGAAUCCAUACAGUGACCAGGGAAAGAGAGAGACAGGAUAAGAAGUACAAUAAGCUUGAGGUAAAUAGGAAUAUCAGGCUGUUACCUACUUAUGUUUGUUUAACUGAGUUUACCUGUGAGCAGGGUCUUGGAUUACAAAGUCAAAGAACUAUGUAGGGUAGCGUAGGAAGUAGGGUUGGUUGAGAAAGAGUCAGAGGCUCUGCUGGGUGAUAAGGCAGACGAACUCUGCGACAUAGAGAAGCUGUUCAUCAUGGAGGAUUCUGUGGUCAUAAAGCCGUGUCCCUGAAACACUUCAGGCCCAGGAUGCAGAAUUCCUUUUCCCCUGUACUGGACCUUUAACUCAGGAGCGUCUGUUCUGUGCUGAAAACACUAGCUACCAUCUGUAUGUUGUAGUGUCGCUUCCCUGGUAUGGGGCUUCUUCUUGUUACCAUUAGAUUCUCGCCACACCUCAGCUGUAGCUCCCCUCCUGAACCUGCAGCUACAUAAUGAUGUUCUCCGUCUGCACUGCCUGUAUUGUAGCCACUGGCCACACGUGGCUGCUGAGCACUUGGAAUAUGUCUGGUACAACUGAGGAACUGAAUUUCUAAUUAAUUGAAAAUUGAAUAGCCACCUGUGGCUGUGACUUGGCAAUAUCAUUGGCUUGGCAAUGUCACAAGUUACUUUGAGCAAUUUACUACGGUGGGUUGAACCUCCCUUUCCUCUCCAGGGCAUGACUGGCAAGGGGUGUCGCCCUAUGAGAAUUGGCAUCUGAGUACAUAAGAGGUGCACACCUCUAGGGGGAGCCCAAGACCUUCUCUGAGUACUUCUCACUUCAUGCUGCAGAGGAAACCAAUUUCUAGUUAGGCCCUUCCUACCCAGUGAGAUCAAGUGUUAGGGUGGAGAGUACAGAUUAAAGUACCGUCAGUGAAUAUGGAGCACAAAGAUAAUGCUUGUAAAUAUCCACAAACUUGAAUGGUGAGAAGGCAAUACAUGCCUGAUGCCCAAAAGGGAGAAGACUUGCUGGCUAGCUCUCAUAAUCUCCCGGAGUGCCGUCUCUCCCUUCUUCCUUCCCACCUCUAUUCUAGGACAAGAUUAAGAUAUUUAGAAGCCCUACAUUCUUAAUUAAAGAUUAUGGUGUUUCAUUCACCUAUCAUUAUAAAUGCAAACAACAUAGAGAGUAAAAUAAAUGUAAAGAAAACCAACAAAGUUUUUUCCAAAAAUGCCGUACCACUCAGCACAAUGGUGAGUCUGCCCUUGAGGUUAUCAGGGAAUUCCCUGUCUCCGCCCCA
rnacentral:lncRNA from 1 species